UAAGAACUUAUUGUAACCGAUCGUAAUAAAAGUUUUUAAGAAGAAAAUAAGAACAAAAAACGAAUUUAUAUUGAUUAACACAAAUGAUUUCGAUUUCUUGUUAAUUACUUUGGCCAAUAUGGGAGCACUUUUGUGCAACGUCGUAGAGACAGGAUCAACCGUGAACGUCGUCGCCGUCGACGUGUCUGGGUACGAGCAAUUAACACAAGAAGAAGACAGCAAGGAGCUUUUUACAAUCUUUUUCAGGAAAUAAAAACAGAUCAGGAAAUGUUCUAUAAGUAUACACAUAUGACACUGCCAACAUUCCAGCAUUUGAUGGAUAUUGUUAAUCCAAGCUUAAUAAAACGAAGCCCACGAGCACUUGAACCAGAGCAACGAAUUGCUUUGACAUUGCGAUUUCUGAUUGGAGACAAAGUUCCAGCAAUUGCUUUUGCCUAUCGUGUUGAUCUGUCAACUGUACAUAAAAUAAUUAAAGAGACGUCUGAUGUAUUUGGAAGACUUCUUGGUUCAAUCUAUCUACAAGCUCCUUCGAGAGAAGAAUAUUUACAAAUUGCUGAGGGUUUUUGGAAAUUAUGGAAUUUUCCACAUUGCUUGGGGGGCAAUUGAUGGAAAACGUCGAUGCUCAAUGCCCUCCGAAUUCUGGUUCGCUGUACUUUAAUUAUCACAAACGAUACAGCAUCGUACUUAUGGCUGUUUGUGAUCACAAUUAUAAAUAUACUUUGGUCGAUAUUGGAUCUAUGGGGAAGAACUGUGAUGCGGGAAUUUUUGGAAACAGCGCCUUGAAUAUGUAGAAUGGGGGAUAUUCCAGAAGGAACCAGUUGCUUAAGCGGAACCGAUAUACAAGUGCCUUAUUUUUUUAUUGGGGAUGAAGCAUUUCCCCUUGGAAAGCAUUUAAUGCGACCAUAUUCUGGACGGUAUUUGGGGGAACGCAAAAACAUAUUCAAUUAUAGGCUUUCGCGAGCCCGGCGUAUAAUAGAAAAUACUUUUGGAAUUAUGGCAAAAAAGUGGGGUAUUUAUAACAGACCGAUCGCUGCGAUUCCUGAAAAUAUUAAUAAAUAUAUUUUAGCAAGUGUAUGUUUGCACAAUUUCUUAAGAAACGAGAAAGGUAAUAUUAUACAAUUUGAAAACAAUGAUGAAAUAACUGAAAAUAACGAAAAUGAUGCAGCAUAUGUGACACAUAUUAGGGACAGUCUUUGCAAUUAUUUUGACUCCGAAUGGAAUGGUCGAUUGGCAGCAUGAUUAUGUAACGAGAGGACAAAAUCAAGACUUCAUCUAAAUAAAAAGAAAUUUUAUCAAUGAUUAUAUGUAUACGUGUGUCAUAUAUUGUAAAAUUUAAUGCUGAUAUGUACUAAUUGUCUAUACAGGGUGACCCAUUUUAACUUAGGCAG